rnacentral:rRNA from 1 species
AACGAACGCUGGCGGCAUGCCUAACACAUGCAAGUCGAACGAGACCUUCGGGUCUAGUGGCGCACGGGUGCGUAACGCGUGGGAACCUGCCCUUAGGUUCGGAAUAACUCCCCGAAAGGGGUGCUAAUACCGGUUAAUGUCUUCGGACCAAAGAUUUAUCGCCUUUGGAUGGGCCCGCGUUGGAUUAGCCAGUUGGUAGGGUAAAAGCCUACCAAGGCGACGAUCCAUAGCUGGUCUGAGAGGAUGAUCAGCCACACUGGGACUGAGACACGGCCCAGACUCCUACGGGAGGCAGCAGUGGGGAAUAUUGGGCAAUGGGCGAAAGACUAAUCAAGCAAUGCCGCGUGAGUGAUGAAGGCCUUAGGGUUGUAAAGCUCUUUUGCCCGGGAUGAUAAUGACAGUACCGGGAGAAUAAGCUCCGGCUAACUCCGUG